rnacentral:lncRNA from 1 species
GGACAGAUUAUAAAGUGUUUUAUUUGUACCUAUGGGUUUCUUAAAGGACUUAAGUGUUAUAGGGAUUUUAUGCCUAGUUUAUCAUCUAUCCAUUUCAUUUGAUCAAAAAUUACUAAAGGCUUGUUUGCCCCUUUUGUCAUUGAUAUUAAAGGGAACAUUUUCUCUUACCAUUUAGACUUUUGAUGUAGGGUGCAUUUUAUAGAGACACCAUGCAUGUGUAACUAAUCAAGAAAGUAAAAUACAUAUUAUCAAAAUAUCGAAAGAUGUCCCCUGCCUGAAAAGGUUGUAAUGUGUGCCAUUGUUUUGAUUUCUACUCCUCAAAAGAAAAAAAAAAGAAAAAAAAGAUUAAUUACAGUACCUCUAAUUUCUAAGGCAUUUUCUGAAGAAUGUUACAUUGUGAUCUCUCCAAGCUAAAUCUUAGGUGUGUGGAGAUCUUUCAGCCCUGACAAAAUAAGAAUAGACCCAUUAUAGUAUCCUAUUCAUUUGAUUUUUCAAAAGUUAGGGGAAAUAUGCAGAUCUUUUCAGAGCCUCUCAUUUGGUUCCUCCUCAUUAGGAGGCAGCAAAUGAAGGAAAGCGAGCUGGGCUGUGUUCAGAAUGCGUCUGCAGCUGCUUAUCUCUAGAGAGCUCGGCAGUGGGACUUCUGCAAGCCCUUGCUCUGUGUAUUUCUUUUUCUUGUCCCUGAAUACUACAUUUUGCAGGAGAAAGUCAGUGUUUAUAAUUUACAAAAAAUGGGGGCAUUAUAAUAGAAUGUGUGCCUCUUAGGAAAAACACCUGCUUCUUUACUACAAAAAUCAAACCUGCCUCUCACAUCUGACUUUAAAACAUUCUGAUCUAACUUUUACAGUCACAUUUAUUAGUGAAAAGAUAAUGCUAUAUGAAAAACUGCUUAUCUACCGAAAAUGCUAUUUUGAUUUUUGCAUUAAUUCCUGAGUAGUCAGUUUAUAUUUUAGAUUGUUUUGUGAAUUGGGAUUUCUGUGAGUAUAAAGUGGUUUUCAAACCAUUGGUGAUAUUGCUGAACAUCUUCCAUAAAUAGCAAACACACACAUUUCAACAGCUUUUUUUGGACUGUACCGCAGUUGAUAAUUUCUUUACAAGAAAAUGUAUGUUCUUUAUUAUUAACAUCAUUUUCCCAUCUUAUGUUCUGGCAUUUAAAUUAUGAAACUUCAUCUCGGCAUGUAGACUUACCUUGUGUUGUCAAGAGGACAGAAGUGGCUUUUCUGCAAAGCUAAAUAGUUUUUACUUUAUUGUCUGCUACGAAACAGCUGCUGAAACCAGAAAAAUGCCAUCUCAUCAUUGGGCCUGGGGUGUCCAAAAGAGGCAGGAAAACAAAUGACUGUAGCUCCCUGUCUGCCCUGGCACUCUCCUCCUUUUUCUCGUUUUCAUUGCCGUGAAGAGCAGGAGAACAAUAUUCUGCAAUUAAGGAUUCCAUUAAAUUGAAGAAAAGAGCAAAUGGGGGAUGUUUGUUCUCCAAGCUGAAAAAAUUUGUCUGGGGUGGGGGGGACAGUGGUACUGGUAUAGAGAGAGGUGGGUGGAGAGACGAAGUCAGGGCUGUUUGUUGAAUAUACUGUUAAGGACUGUUACCAUCCUAAUUAAUCAAGUUAGAAAUUACAGCUGUAGUCGGUUUCCCCCCAAUUCUUGUUAUCAAUUUUCUUCUCUUUUGAGACAAAGCAAAUAUAAAUUUUGUGUUCAUUUGUCAUUCGUUCUUUGACUUCAGCAUCUCUGAAAAUAACAAUGUAGCACAAAAGCCCAGUAUUUACCUAGUUGUAAUGUGGGUUGCCAUGGUGUUUUGCAAAUUAUUGCAAUUAUGUUCACCAUGCGAGUCGCCCUUGGUAACUGGCGAAAAAACUGAUAAUCCUGUUUUGAACAAAAGGUCAAAUUGCUGAAUAGAAAGUCUUGAUUAACUAAAAGAUGUACAAAGUGGAAUUAUUUCCUACCAUUCAGAAAUAGUUCUUGAUCGGGUUUGGGGGAGGGGGUGAGUAAGUACAUCUGAUUACUGAAGUACAAAGCAUUGAAAGGAUGUUGUCUUGAGCCUUUCAUGUAGUCUUAAUGGUGGCUUUUUUGUCAAAUUUACCCAUUUGCGGCAUUGAAAGAGGCAGCUGCAUUUAAGCUGGAGAGACGGUGCUUUUUCAAGAGUUCAGUGCAUGGAAAGUUCUCAGCAGUAUCUGCAGUUUACUAGUAGCCCCUGGUCUAUUAAAACUGAUGUGCCGCAUUUGAGCCCAUUGCUCUCAGUACUUGUGAACCCCUCUGGCUGAUGAUCUAAUAAAGUGCUCUUACUGGACAAUCUCUGAUCAGCUACUUUAAAAAGGAGGCUGGGGGAGGGGUGGGUUAGAAGAAGCCUCACAGGCAGUCAGUCCUGGUACUAGCCAGAAGAGAGGAAGAAAGUAGCUAAACCGAAAGGGUUGUCAGCAUACUGAGGUUUUGCCAUGGCUUUUGAGUUUCUGUGCCCCAAAACUCUUUAGCUGAGAUCACAUCCCCCCACCUUCUUCAGAAGAAAUCUUUAUUUCAGUUAAGAUUGGAAGAGGGAAUUAGGAAUGCCUUUUUUGAAAUACUGGAAUCCACCUUGAUAUAUGUUUUUUAGAUUGUGGGUAUCCAAAGUUUCCCAUGUUACAGCCAGAGGUCAAAUGGAUUUCAUCUCUUUUGAAUGUCAUAGAGUAUUUGUGGAACGUGAAUUUGGAGGGAGGGAUUCUUUUUCUGUAGUGACCACCUGAAAACUCAGUUCUCAAAACUUUUGAAAGUGUGUGAAAGUAGCAUGAAAGCAAAGCAAACUUGAACAAGUUUGUGGGUUUACAUUCUGUAUCACCUAGCAACCCCCUGGCUCAGCCAGAUCUCUUGUCUCCCCUUAGUUCUGUUUACAGACUAUUCAAACGGCCCUUCGAGACCAUGAAAGAUAUUCAGUUUCAUUAGUACCAUUCUCAAGGAGAAAAUAAUUAAAGUUAAGCUAACAAACAUUGCCUGGUGAUAGUGUGAAUUCCAUUUUGAUUUUUAUGAGGCAACUGCAUAGAUAGUUCAGUUUUAACAUUGUUAUUUGGUAUCCAAAGACACAUUGCUUUAAGCCAUGCUAACCAAUACAUAUCU